rnacentral:rRNA from 1 species
AUUGAACGCUGGCGUCAUGCCUUACACAUGCAAGUCGAACGGUAACAGGUCUUCGGAUGCUGACGAGUGGCGAACGGGUGAGUAAUACAUCGGAACGUGCCUAGUAGUGGGGGAUAACUAAUCGAAAGAGUGGCUAAUACCGUAUGCGAUCUACGGAUGAAAGAAGGGGAUCGCAAGACCUUGUGCUACUAGAGCGGCAGAUGGCAGAUUAGGUAGUUGGUGGGAUAAAAGCUUACCAAGCCGACGAUCUGUAGCUGGUCUGAGAGGACGAUCAGCCACACUGGGAAUGAGAAACGGCCCAGACUCCUACGGGAGGCAGCAGUGGGGAAUUUUGGACAAUGGGCGCAAGCCUGAUCCAGCAAUGCCGCGUGCAGGAUGAAGGCCUUCGGGUUGUAAACUGCUUUUGUACGGAACGAAAAGCCCCGGGUUAAUACCCUGGGGUCAUGACGGUACCGUAAGAAUAAGCACCGGCUAACUACGUGCCAGCAGCCGCGGUAA